GCAAGUUGAACGCUUGAUUUUCACCGAAGCUUGCUUCACCGAAAAUCAACAUUAGCGAACGGGUGAGUAACGCGUGGGUAACCUACCUUUCUUUGGGGGAUAACUAUUGGAAACGAUAGCUAAUACCGCAUAUCAAUGUUGGAUGCAUAUUCGACAUUUGAAAGUACCAAUUGGUACACUGAGAGAUGGACCCGCGUUGUAUUAGCUAGGUGGUAGUGUAAUGGACUACCAAGGCGAUGAUACAUAGCCGACCUGAGAGGGUGAUCGGCCACAUUGGGACUGAGACACGGCCCAAACUCCUACGGGAGGCAGCAGUAGGGAAUCUUCGGCAAUGGACGAAAGUCUGACCGAGCAACGCCGCGUGAGUGAAGAAGGUUUUCGGAUCGUAAAACUCUGUUGUUAGAGAAGAACGUUGCAUAGAGUGGAAAAUUAUGCAAGUGACGGUAUCUAACCAGAAAGGGACGGCUAACUACGUGCCAGCAGCCGCGGUAAUACGUAGGUCCCGAGCGUUGUCCGGAUUUAUUGGGCGUAAAGCGAGCGCAGGUGGUUUAAUAAGUCUGAUGUAAAAGGCAGUGGCUCAACCAUUGUGUGCAUUGGAAACUGUUAGACUUGAGUGCAGUAGAGGAGAGUGGAAUUCCAUGUGUAGCGGUGAAAUGCGUAAAUAUAUGGAGGACCACCGGUGGCGAAAGCGGCUCUCUGGACUGUCACUGACACUGAGGC
rnacentral:rRNA from 1 species